AAUAGAUACCCGGGUAGUCCUAGCCAUCAACGAUGGAUACUGGAUAUUCCUGCACUCAUGUGGGAGUGUCGAAGCCAACGCGUUAAGUAUCCCGCCUGGGGAGUACGGUCGCAAGAUUGAAACUCAAAGGAAUUGACGGGGGCCCGCACAAGCGGUGGGGGCAUGUGGUUUAAUUCGACGCAACGCGAAGAACCUUACCUGGGCUUGAACUGUCGGUAUAGGGACCCGAAAGGGCGACGAUCCCGGGCAACCGGGAAGCCGAUAGAGGUGCUGCAUGGCUGUCGUCAGCUCGUGUCGUGAGAUGUUGGGUUAAGUCCCGCAACGAGCGCAACCCUUGUCUUUAGUUGCCAGCGAGUCAUGUCGGGCACUCUAAGGAGACUGCCUCGGAUAACGAGGAGGAAGGUGGGGAUGACGUCAAGUCAGCAUGGCCUUUAUGUCCAGGGCUACACACGUGCUACAAUGGGCGGCACAGAAGGACGCGAGACCGCGAGGUCAAGCCAACCCUUAAAACCGUUCUCAGUUCGGAUUGCAGG
rnacentral:rRNA from 1 species